GUGUGCAGUAAGCUUUGCACCCUGUUGGUUCUUGAAUGCACCUCAACUAGAUCAAAUUAGCUCCACCCAGGCCAAACCCCCUCAUUAGCUGAGCUUUUAUAAAGCACCUGUAUCAUCAUGGCUGCCUCUUGGCUUUGUCUCUGGCUGUUGGUUGCCACAUGGGACCAUCUCUGACUUUUAGCAGUCUGCUACCUGCCUGACUGUUGGGCCUGGAAGGGAUUCCAAGCUCCCCUGCCUGGAGUGGUGUGAUGAACUCUCCCUUAGCCUACUGAGUACAUAUGAGUGAAGUGGAGCUAGUAGCCAGCGUGUGGUGGAGGCUAGGCACGUUAGUGUGGUUCCCUUCACAGAUUGUAGUGAUAACAGCACGGUGACACGAUUUGCAGUGACUAUCGAUUGCAGUGGGCACAUGCGGUGGGUACUGGCCAUACCUUAACAAACUAGCAGAGGGGUUACCAGAGCCUCUGCCCUUGACGGACAUGAGGCCAUUUCUUAGCGUCAUGCACGCUAAAGCCCAUACAGCAAAAUGCGAGGUGAGAUGGGUGGCAGAAGCCAGGAUGGAGCAGGAAACCCAGUGGGAGAGGAAGUGGAGCAGGAAGAGUCAACAUGCUAACCCAACAGGCCAUGGGUUGGAACCGAAGAAAGAGGGAUAACCUUCAUCAAGCGUUGGCCCACAGAUACAUCAAAAUCACAGAUAGGGCAGCGGUGGAAGCUGUCAACCUCAGGAGCAUCAAGGAGCAGCACAACCUGGAUCAGGAGACCACAGAGCAGUGGGUGUGUGAUGUCAGGCAGUGGGCGUUAACAGACAGUCUACACUCCAGGGUGCAUUGAAGACCUCAGGGCUGAAAUUGAAAACUUAACAGUAACCCUUUUGCGCAAGAAGCAAGACCUGUAUCGUCAGCAUGAUAGCAACCAGACAAGACAGAGAAGAAAGACAAUGACACAGCUGAAGAUGAAGCCUCGUGAUCUGGUCUCGCAGUACAACGUCACCGUGGAAACACAUCAGAUUGACGAGGAGUUGGCGUGCAGUCUGACAGAGGGCUACAUCCUGCCAUGGGAGACACAUGAAGAUGGCGCUACCUUCAGGUUGAAGAGGUUGGUCUUUGACCAGAUAAUGCUGCUGAAACGCAUGGAGGAGGAGCAGAGCAUCCUGGUGAAAGAGAUGUCCCAACACGUUAUGUACCUUCUAAAGGAAGUACAACAAGUGGAGGCACUCAAGGGACAGACUUUGGAGAGCAUCAAAACAAACAAUUUUGGUGACCUGACAGAGGACGCUACACAUGGGCUCAACAGUGUUCUCAGUCGGAGGUGGCACUACCUAAAAAGCCAAAAGAAACAGGCGGUAAAUGCUUACAGUAGUAUAGCCUCGAAGGAACUUGUUUUCUUCCAUAUACAGGAGGACAUUGAGGAGUGGGAGGUCAACGGUUUCACUAGCCCCGAGUCAGAGGAAGAAGAAACGUAAAGGCCACUGCCUCUCUCCCUUUACGCUACUGUCCUCUCCAACUCGGCGUAAUCACUAUGUAUUGUAUUUCUUGUGUAUGCCCCUGUGAAAAGUGUUGAAAAAGACAUCUUAUUUAAUUAGUUACUUGUUACUGUAUGUAAAAUCAAUCAAAAUACCUUUAGUGUAGGGUGGCCUUGACAUAAAAAAGCCUUUAUGUAAAUUUUUUGUACAUAGGAUACUAAUAGCGUAAUAAUUGUUGGCAUUACUCUUUAAAUACUGUUUUAACAUUCCUAUAGGCCAGUAAGCCUUUUGUCAGGGGAUUUAUAUUUGCUAAUAAUAGCCUAUGUUGGAUAAAAAAUUGAUAUUUCAAAAAAUUUCAAAAAUUAAUAAAAAUUAGGAGGCAUUGACUCUGAGGACCAUCUAGGGGUCCCGUACCCCCUGUUAAAGAUCUGUGACCUAGACUGAGGUUGCUGAUCUGCUAGGGAGCUUUAAGGGAACCCAUUGAGAGAAAAAAGGGAAACCUGUUUCUGAUGUUCUGAUGUUUGAAAGUUCUUAAUUUUAGAUUUAAAUAAAGAUGUAUUGUCCCAGAGGGAUAUUUGUUUUAACAGCCUGUACAGAUAGCAAUAUAUAGACUUACAUCCCUAUACUUUUGUUGUCACUAUGUUCUAUGAAGAAAAUAUAGCCAUUUUUUAAAUGAUUAAAAUAAAUACAAGUGUAAAGAUAUAUGCCUAUACAUUGUUUAAUAUGUGCUUAGAGUCCCUUGACAUAAAAAUGUGCCAGGGCUACCUGGACCUGGUUUACUUGUAAACUGUAUUAUUAAAAACAUUGAAGUCA